ensembl:snRNA U1 U1 spliceosomal RNA
CUACUUAUACGGCAGUGGAGACACCAUGAUCAUGCAGGUGAUUUUUUUUCCAGGGCGAGGCUCUUUUAUUGCUCUGCAGAUGUGUUGACCCCUGUGAUUUCCCCAAAUGUGGGAAACUAUUAAUUUGCAGUAUUGGGGAACUGCGUUUGCAUGCUCCCCUA